rnacentral:rRNA from 1 species
AUGGCUGUCGAUGCGUCGGUGUGGCCAUUUGAUUCGUUAUCGGAGCCUGCAUCGCUAUUGUGCUGCGCAUGUGGUUCUUCUGAGCAUUCCGAUGGUGGCCCUUCUUACGCAUUGACUUUGAUGAUGUCUUGCUCUUAUCUAAUACCCAGUAGCCACAUGAUGCAUUUGCUGAGGGCUGAUGCCUCUGGACGCACCAAAAAGCAAGAGACAUCCCAAGCACCUAGCUAUUUCUUGCCCUCUUCUCUGCACACACUCAUGGCCGCUGUUAUCUUGUCCAACACCCGGGUUAUGCCCAUCAGUUAUAACAAGACCAUCAUGAGCAACUUGUCCUUGCACCGUGCAGGCCCAGGUCCGGUGUUCGCCCGUGGACAAGGCAGCCACAUUCUUGCCGGAAACUCCAUAUCUACCAUCAUGAUAACGUUCGAGGAUCCAAGGUACAAGGGCUCCAGCCUUGCUGUUAUGGGCAACAUCUUGGAUAAUGGCCAGUGGGCUAUUGUUGGAGGGACUGGGUUAUUUAAGUAUGCAACUGGGUUCAUUGACUUGAUUCCUGUUCAACAGUCGAGCCCCAAGAACAUUUCAAACAUCACCAUCGAAGUAUGCAAUCCAAACUAUUGA